AUUGAACGCUGGCGGCAGGCCUAACACAUGCAAGUCGAGCGAAUGGAGGGAGCUUUCUCCUGUAUUCCGCUGCGGACGGGUGGGUAAGUAAUACGAGGCUGCCCUGUCUAUGGGGCUAGGGUCACUUCGCGGGCCCGAAUCCCACAUCCGUCCAUAUGUUGAACCGGAGGGAUCUUCGGUGCACGCCGGUUCUGCUGUGCCUAGGUCGUAUUAGCUAGUUGGUUGGGUAACGGCGUACCAAGGCGACGAUCCGUAGCUGGUCUGAGAGGAUGAUCUGUCACACUGGAACUGAGACACGGUCCAGACUCCUACGGGAGGCAGCAGUGGGGAAUAUUGGACAAUGGGCGAAAGCCUGAUCCAGCCACGCCGCGUGUGUGAAGAAGGUCUUCGGAUCGUAAAGCACUGUUAGUUGGGAGGAAGGGAAGUAUGUUAAUCCCUGGCUGUUUUGACGUUACCUACACAGUAAGCACCGGCUAACUUCGUG
rnacentral:rRNA from 1 species